GAUGAACGCUGGCGGCGUGCCUAACACAUGCAAGUCGAGCGAAGCGGGGACGGGUGAGUAACACGUGGAUAACCUCCUAUAAGACUGGGAUAAAUUCGGGAAACUGGUGCUAAACCCGAUACUUAUAGACGGUUCCCAGCUGCAUUAGCUAGUUGGUAAGGUAACGGCUUACCAAGGCAACGACGCAUAGCCGACCCUGGAGGGUGUUCGUCCACUGUGGAAGUGAACCACGGUCCAGAUUCCUCCGGGAGGCACAAUUAGGGAAUCUGCCGCAAUAGACGAAAGCCUGACGGAGCAGCGCCGCGUGAUUGGUGAAGGGCUUCCGAUCGUAAAACUCUGUUAUUAGGGAUGCGGUACCUAAUCAGAAAGCAACGGCUAACUACGUGCCAGCAGCCGCGGUAAUUC
rnacentral:rRNA from 1 species